UUUUAAAAUGAUGAUUGUGAUUACCGCCCCAGUCUGAUAAUUUGUGACUGAUUGGUUAUUCUGAAUAAUU